GCCUCAGUUGUCGAGUUGGCUAAGACACUCGCUCUGGAAAGUCGAGAGGACCCUCGUUCGAAUCCUGGCUGAAGUA
rnacentral:tRNA from 1 species